rnacentral:tRNA from 1 species
AUUUUAAGCAUCAAAUAUAAAGAAUUAAAUUUAAUUUUUCUUUUAUUAUAA